GCGUGAUCAACUGCCCUUUAAUUGGGGGCCUGACGAAUGGAUUUUCGAGGGCCUAGCUGUCUCCGUUCAGGAGUAGAAGUUAACUUUUAGGUGAAAAUACCUGAAUUUAUAUACAAGACAAAAAGACCCCGUAGAGCUCUGUUAGACUAAUGAAGGAAUUAUACUAAUAUAGAUAUAAUCUUUGAUUGUAAUAACUUAACUGGGAUGGUUAAGGAAAAUAUAAACUUCCUCUUCGGUAGUACGAGAAUACUAAUCACUUAUUGCACGAUCCCUCUGUUUUGUGAUGUUCAAAGGAUUAGCUACCUCGGGGAUAACAGACUAAUUUUUCUUGAGAGUUCGCAUUGACAGAAAAGUUUGGCACAUCGAUGUUGGCUUAGGAGAUCCCACAGGUUAGCAGCCGCCUGUAUGAGCAGGUUUGUUCAACCUUUAAACCCCU
rnacentral:rRNA from 1 species